GUGUAUGGUGCUUAAGCCUAGGUCUCUAGGUCUCACUUUCAGAUUCCUUUUAUGAGAUCAAAGUACAAGCUCUGGUAGACAACAUGGGAGUGUCUAAGGCUGAACAUGGAGAUGGAGUGGG